rnacentral:rRNA from 1 species
UACGUAGGGGGCAAGCGUUGUUCGGAGUCACUGGGCGUAAAGGGUGCGUAGGCGGCUUUUUAAGUUUGGUGUGAAAUCUCCCGGCUCAACUGGGAGGGUGCGCCGAAUACUGAGAGGCUAGAGUGUGGGAGAGGAAAGUGGAAUUCCUGGUGUAGCGGUGAAAUGCGUAGAUAUCGGGAGGAACACCAGUGGCGAAGGCGGUUGCCUGGGGCUUUGCUGACGCUGAUGCGCGAAAGCGUGGGGAGCGAUCCGG